rnacentral:rRNA from 1 species
UACGUAGGGGGCAAGCGUUGUCCGGAUUUAUUGGGCGUAAAGAGCGUGUAGGCGGCCAUGUAGGUCCGUUGUGAAAACUCGAGGCUCAACCUCGAGACGCCGAUGGAAACCAUGUGGCUAGAGUCCGGAAGAGGAGAGUGGAAUUCCUGGUGUAGCGGUGAAAUGCGCAGAUAUCAGGAGGAACACCGGUGGCGAAGGCGGGUCUCUGGGCCGUAACUGACGCUGAGGAGCGAAAGCAUGGGGAGCGAACAGG